rnacentral:rRNA from 1 species
UACAGAGGUCCCAAGCGUUGUUCGGAUUCAUUGGGCGUAAAGGGUGCGUAGGUGGCGCCGUAAGUCAGGUGUGAAAUUUCGGAGCUUAACUCCGAAACUGCAUUUGAUACUGCGGUGCUUGAGGACUGGAGAGGAGACUGGAAUUUACGGCGUAGCAGUGAAAUGCGUAGAGAUCGUAAGGAAGACCAGUGGCGAAGGCGGGUCUCUGGACAGUUCCUGACACUGAGGCACGAAGGCCAGGGGAGCAAACGGG